rnacentral:rRNA from 1 species
GACGAACGCUGGCGGCGUGCUUAACACAUGCAAGUCGAACGGAAAGGCCCUGCUUUCGUGGGGUGUUCGAGUGGCGAACGGGUGAGUAACACGUGAGUAACCUGCCCUUGACUUUGGGAUAACUUCAGGAAAAUGGGGCUAAUACCGGAUAGGAGCUCCUGCUGCGUGGUGGGGGUUGGAACGUUUCGGCGGUUGGGGAUGGACUCGCGGCUUAUCAGCUUGUUGGUGGGGUUGUGGCUUACCAAGGCUUUGCCGGGUAGCCGGCCUGUGAGGGUGACCGGCCACAUUGGGACUGAGAUACGGCCCAGACUCCUACGGGAGGCAGCAGUGGGGAAGAUUGCACAAUGGGCGGAAGCCUGAUGCAGCAACGCCGCGUGCGGGAUGACGGCCUUCGGGUUGUAAACCGCUUUCGCCUGUGACGAAGCGUGAGUGACGGUAAUGGGUAAAGAAGCACCGGCUAACUACGUG